rnacentral:rRNA from 1 species
UCAAGCUACAAAGAGCGCAAGGGGAAUGCCUUGGCACCAGGAGCCGACGAAGGACGCAGCAAUCUGCGAAAAGCCACGGGGAGCCGAAAGCAGGCAUCGAUCCGUGGAUGUCCGAAUGGGGAAACCCGGCUGAGUGAAGCUCAGUCAGCGUACACUGAAUCCAUAGGUGUGCGUGGGGAACCGCCUGAACUGAAACAUCUAAGUAGGGCGAGGAAAAGAAAUCAACCGAGAUUCCGCAAGUAGUGGCGAGCGAACGCGGAAGAGGCCAAACCGGCUGUAGAAAUAUGGCCGGGGUAAGGACAGCAAAAUGUAUGUUGGACCCUAGCAGAAGGGCAUGGGACGGCCCACCACAGAGAGUGAUAGUCUCGUAUGCGAAAGGGAAAAACAGCAGGCUGUAUCCAGAGUACCACUGGACACGUGAAACCCGGUGGGAAUAUGGGGGGACCACCCUCCAAGCCUAAAUACUCCCUGGUGACCGAUAGUGAAGAGUACUGUGAAGGAAAGGUGAAAAGAACCCCGGGAGGGGAGUGAAAAGAACCUGAAACCUUGUGCUUACAAGCACACAGAGCACGUCAAGGUGUGAUGUGGUACCUUUUGUAGAAUGGUCCGGCGAGUGAAUGUAACGAGCAAGGUUAAGCACUUUAGGUGUGGAGCCGAAGCGAAAGCAAGUCUGAAAAGGGCGAGAAGUUCGUUGUAUUCGACCCGAAACCGGGUGACCUAGCCAUGUCCAGGCUGAAGUGAAGGUAAAACUUCAUGGAGGGCCGAACCCACUCCCGUUGAAAUGGUAGGGGAUGAGGUGUGGCUAGCGGAGAAAUUCCAAUCGAACCCGGAGAUAGCUGGUUCUCUCCGAAAUAGCUUUAGGGCUAGCCUCGACUGAACAUUACCGGAGGUAAAGCACUGAAUGGGCUAGGGGCCGAGAGGUUACUGAACCCUAUCAAACUAAGAAUGCCGGAUAAUGAUAGUCGGGAGUCAGACAGUGUGAGAUAAGUUUCAUUGUCGAAAGGGAAACAGCCCAGACCCACAGCUAAGGUCCCAAAGUAUCGUUAAGUGGAAAAGGAUGUGGAACUGCCCAGACAACCAGGAUGUUGGCUCAGAAGCAGCCAUACAUUCAAAGAGUGCGUAAUAGCUCACUGGUCGAGUGGUUCUGCGCCGAAAAUUUAACGGGGCUAAACGAUACACCGAAGCUUGGGAUGCAGCAUUGGCUGCAUGGUAGGAGAGCGUUCUGUACGGGGUGAAGUCAUAGCGGAAGCGGUGGUGGACUGUACAGAAGAGAGAAUGCCGGAAUGAGUAGCGAGAUUUAUGUGAGAAUCAUAAAGGCCGAAAGACUAAGGAUUUAGAAGGAAGGUUCGUCCGCUUCUAGUUAGCCGGGAGCUAAGGCGAGGCCGAAAGGCGUAGUCGAUGCACAUACGGUGGAGAUUCCGUAGCCGCCUCUUAAUUUAAGCAAAGGGACACUUUCAAAGGGAAUGACCCGGGCGUUGGUAGCCCCGGGCGAAAGGGACCGAAAUUAGAGUAGGGAAGCAUUUCUGGAGGAAGGCGAGAAAAGCUUUGCGGAUAGAGAGAGGCGCCCGUACCGCAAACCGACACAGGUAGUCAGGAAGAGGAUUCUAAGGCCAACGGGAGAAGGGUAGUUAAGGAACUCGGCAAAUUGACCCCGUAACUUCGGAAUAAGGGGUGCUCCUGAAAAGGAGCCGCAGUGAAUAGGCCCAGGCGACUGUUUAUCAAAAACACAGCUCUCUGCUAAAUCGAAAGAUGAAGUAUAGGGGGUGACACCUGCCCGGUGCUGGAAGGUUAAGAGGAAGGGUGCAAGCUCUGAAUUGAAGCCCCAGUAAACGGCGGCCGUAACUAUAACGGUCCUAAGGUAGCGAAAUUCCUUGUCGGGU